UGGUCUCACAGGCCACAAAAGUUACUAGAAAAAAAAAUAUUAGAAAAGAAAAGAAAAAAGUAUCAAAAACCUAAAAUAAAAUAAUGAAACUUUACAGAAGUCGUGGAUGUUGCCGCCAUCAGGUCAUUGAGGGCCAACUUCACGCCUCUAUAUUUCGAUACAAUGAAGCACUUUCAAAGGAUCAUAAAUAUGAUACUUGUGGCUGCUGUCAUAUAUUUAAUCUAUCAAGUGAAGUUAAGAAAUAACUUAUGGAGGAAACCAGGAGAAAGUCUAUCUUUGAUACAAGAGAAGUAUUCUGUUUGGCCACCUUUCAGCAGUAAACCAAAACACUCACAGGGACAGCAUCGUGGAGUUCAACCGCGAGGCAGCUGUCAGGUGUGCCACAGGCAGUGUGUACUCAGUUCCUCAAGCUUCAACAUCCGUGCACACGAGGGCCUGGGAUCUUCAAUCAACUUGGCGUCCACCAGGACGCUGACAUGUCCCUAGGGAAGCUCUCCCUCGGGCUGCUAACGGAGUCACUGGCUUCUUGGACCUCUUGGGGAGGGUCGAUGGUGCUCGUGCAAGCAGCAGAUCCCGGGGCAACUUGCUGCUGUUUGCAAUGGCUGUCUGCC